UAAGAUAAAUUGAUACUGGUAGAGUAGGGUGCUGCUGUAAAGAUACUCAAAAAUGUGGAAGCAACUUUGGAACUGGGCAACAGGCAGAAGUUGGAACAAUUUGGAGGGCUCAGACGACAGAAAGAUGUGGGAAAGUUUGGAACUUCCUAGAGACUUAUUGAAUGGUUUUGAC